GAUGAACGCUAGCGGCAGGCUUAACACAUGCAAGUCGAGGGGCAGCGCGGGAUAGCAAUAUCCUGGCGGCGACCGGCGGAAGGGUGCGUAACGCGUGAGCGACAUGCCCGUUGCCCGGGGACAACCGGUGGAAACGCCGACUAAUCCCCGAUGGGAUAUUGUGCCGCGUGGCACGAUAUUGAAAGUUACGGCGGCGACGGAUUGGCUCGCGUCCGAUUAGCUUGUUGGCGGGGUAACGGCCCACCAAGGCUGCGAUCGGUAGGGGUUCUGAGAGGAAGGCCCCCCACAAUGGGACUGAGACACGGCCCAUACUCCUACGGGAGGCAGCAGUGAGGAAUAUUGGACAAUGGGCGGAAGCCUGAACCAGCCAUGCCGCGUGCGGGAAGGAGGCCCUAUGGGCUGUGAACCGCUUUUGCCUGGGGGCAAUAAGGGCGUCGCGCACGUCCGAUGAGAGAACCAGGCGAAUAAGCAUCGGCUAACUCCGUG
rnacentral:rRNA from 1 species